rnacentral:rRNA from 1 species
GCUUGUCUCAAAGAUUAAGCCAUGCAUGUCUUAGUGUAAAUAACUCUUAUGAAACUGCGAAUGGCUCAUUAAAUCAGUUAUCGUUUAUUUGAUGGUCCCUUACUACAUGGAUAACCGUGGUAAUUCUAGAGCUAAUACAUGCUGGCGUGCCCGACUUUUGUGGAAGGGCGGUAUUUAUUAGAUAACAAGCCAAUAUUCCUCACGGUCUAUUGUGGUGACUCAUAAUAACUGAUCGAAUCGCAAGGCCCUUGGCCGCGAUAAGUCAUUCAAGUUUCUGCCCCAUCAGCUUUCGAUGGUAGUGUAUUGGACUACCAUGGCGUUCACGGGUAACGGAGAAUUAGGGUUCGAUUCCGGAGAGGGAGCCUGAGAAACGGCUACCACAUCUAAGGAAGGCAGCAGG